rnacentral:lncRNA from 1 species
GUCCAUUCAUAUAAAAUCUUUGACUUCUGAUUUCGUGGUUGUUAACUGAUUCCUUUACCUUAUUUGCACGAACCGUGUAUUUCCAAGACCUUGUCUUUAAAUAGACCUUUAUGAACUUACCCCUAUUAUACUAUCAUAACAAAAGUGUUUGAUUAAUUUAGUUCCCUAAUUAGUUUUACCGUUUGAAAUCAAAAUCCGUUAAUUAAAGGGAAACCUUGUUAAUUGAUUGACAAUUGAUUUUCAAACUAUUCUCGUACCUUAUUUUUGCUCUCCUUCUAUACUAUAAAAAGUAUGACCUUUUUUUCACAAAC